GACGAACGCUGGCGGCGUGCUUAACACAUGCAAGUCGAGCGGUAAGGCCCUUCGGGUACGACGAGCGGCGAACGGGUGAGUAACACGUGGGUGACCUGCCUCUAGCUCUGGGAUAAGCCUGGGGGGGAAACUGGGUCUAAUACCGGAUAUGACUCCACGGCGCAUGUUGUGGGGUGGAAAGCCUUGUGUGGCUAGAGAUGGGCCCGCGGCCUAUCAGCUUGUUGGUGGGGUGAUGGCCACCAAGGCGACGACGGGUAGCCGGCCUGAGAGGGCGACCGGCCACACUGGGACUGAGACACGGCCCAGACUCCUACGGGAGGCAGCAGUGGGGAAUCUUGCGCAAUGGGCGAAAGCCUGACGCAGCGACGCCGCGUGAGGGAUGACGGCCU
rnacentral:rRNA from 1 species